GUCUACGGUCAUACCACCUUGAACACAUCUGAUCUCAUCUGAUCGUGGAAACUAAGCAGGGUCAGGCCUGGUUAGUCCUUGGAUGGGAGAUGUUGUGCUUCUGUGUAAACACUGGAAAGUAAACU
rnacentral:rRNA from 1 species